rnacentral:rRNA from 1 species
GUAGGGUGCGAGCGUUAAUCGGAAUUACUGGGCGUAAAGCGUGCGCAGGCGGUUUUGUAAGCCGGAUGUGAAAUCCCCGGGCUUAACCUGGGAAUGGCAUUCGGGACUGCAAGGCUGGAGUGCGGCAGAGGAGACUGGAAUUCCUGGUGUAGCAGUGAAAUGCGUAGAUAUCAGGAGGAACACCGAUGGCGAAGGCAGGUCUCUGGGCUGACACUGACGCUCAUGCACGAAAGCGUGGGGAGCAAACAGGAUUAGAUACCCUGGUAGUCCACGCUCUAAACGAUGUCGACUGGUUGUUGGGGGUUUGACACUCUCAGUAACGAAGCUAACGCGUGAAGUCGACCGCCUGGGGAGUACGGCCGCAAGGUUA